rnacentral:rRNA from 1 species
UACGGAGGGUGCAAGCGUUAUCCGGAUUCACUGGGUUUAAAGGGUGCGUAGGUGGAUCGGUAAGUCCGUGGUGAAAUCCCCGAGCUUAACUCGGGAACUGCCGUGGAUACUAUCGAUCUUGAAUACUGUGGAGGUAAGCGGAAUAUGUCAUGUAGCGGUGAAAUGCUUAGAUAUGACAUAGAACACCGAUAGCGAAGGCAGCUUGCUACACAGUUAUUGACACUGAGGCACGAAAGCAUGGGGAGCGAACAGG